rnacentral:tRNA from 1 species
GGGGAUUUAGCUGAGUGGCAUAAUGUCUGCUUGGCAAGCACAAAGUCCUGAGUUCAAUUCCCAGUAUCCCCC